UUACAACCAUAUGAAAUUCGCAAUAACUAAAGAACCGUGUUGUAAUUCUGUUUGCAAGAAAUAACAACCAAAUCUUCGUGAUAUCAUAUCUUACUGUCUUUAAAAAAUGAAGGAUACACUAAAUAAUGUGAUUCUAAAUACAAUAUAUCUAAAAAUACUUUUGAUCAUAAGUUUGCUGGAUCAACGCUGACCUGGGGCUAAACGAUUACAUCAAACCUCUAUGGUAUCUAUUACGAGAACUUUUAUGUGAGCGCUAAACUUUUCUAGAAAUAGUAAUCAAUUUCCCUCCGGUCACAAGGGUGAUGACUGAAGGAAACAUUUUAUGGACAGGUUACAAAAUGUGUGCAAGUUAAGAGAGAAAACGAAAAAGGAAAUGAAACUGAAAAUAAAAAAAGGGUACUGUCAUCCCUAAAAGACUACCAAAAAUGCUUACGAAUCCUGAAUUAUCUUGAUAACUAAGGGUUGGUACCCUCUCCAGCUGUCAUUUUCUUGCAUACAGGUGCAUGCUAAGUAUAGGCCCAUUCAGUGGUGUUUUGUUCACAAAUCCCACCCAUCUUUAAACAAAUUCACUUUGAAAUGAAGUGGGAACCUUUGUCGCCAUCCUCAUUUUUCUCUGCAAUUGAAAUUUUAAAAAGUCAAUCGGUGCUUGACCGAAGAGCAAAGUGUCUGUCUUCAACCUUUUCUGUUGCACCAACCAUAUAACCUUUUUUUUAGCAGAGUCAUCAAACAGAAGAACGCUGUCUGCUCUUUCGAAGGACGAUAUUCACAAUGGAUUCAGCUGUUAGUCCAAUCCAUCCUACCCAUAAUAACUGCUUCCAGGAAAACUCCACAAGAUAGUGAUGUUCGGGACUGAUCUGGUGUAUGCAGAAUGGUUUUGUCAUUCAGCAUACAUCUUGGACGAGCUAGGCACUUUCAUGCCUAAUGUUUCCCUAGUAGUACUGCUAAAUCAGGGAUUUCUGAUAACUGUCCAAUACUCUCAGACUAAAAGUCCUCCAGAACAGACCAACCUGUUGGUUUUGGUUGUCAUCCAGAGUUUUCCUAUAAAUAUUGUCACUCAUACCCACAGCUAACUUUCAGAUGAAUACUAUUGUGAUCGCAUUUCUUAACUAGUACAGAGUUGUGGAUGUCCGACAACAUUUCAGAUGCCUGAUGCCCAAUCUUGGUAUUUACCUGAUUCAGUACUGCAUCUCUGUCAAAGAGGUGAGCUGUAGGAACAUGGCCUCACUUGUUUACCAUCCAUUAAUCAUCGUACAUGCCAAAGCCUCAAGUGCAUUUCUGUGCAUCAUCAACCACGGCCCUCUGUGCAGAGGUUGUUGACAACAUGUCCCUUCUACAAGAAGUGAAUGAGCAGACACCCCACCCUAGUCAGACAAAAACAGAGCAAAGCACAAUGGUCAGAUUUUAAUAUGUAACAGAGGAUAUGUAUGGCAUCUUCUCGGCCUAUUUCUAGAUAAGACUGGCUACUCUGUUCAUAACCUCGAUUCAGUUCUAAUCUGUCUGGAGGUCAAGAUUGAACGAAUCCCUAAGUUAAGUGGUCCAUCUGUUCAGUACCCUAUGACACUGUCUGAUAGCAUGUACUUGCUUCUCCAGGUGUCAAGCUGCUGGCUUAUUAACUUAUCAUGGUCAAUCAUAUCUCUCAUAUUCCUUUAUAAUAUUCUUUUCUGCUCUAGGUACAAGGCCCGAAAUUUUGGGGGAGGAUGAAAGGCAAAGUCGACCUCGGUGGAAUUUGAACUCAGACCACAAAGCCAGACGAAAUAUCGCUAAGCAUUUCGCCCGGCGUGCUAAUGUUUCUGCCAACCCACCGCCUUAUAUACCUUUAUAACAUUGCAAACUAUCUCGACUUUCAGGGUGUCCUGCUUUUUGUUUCAGAGGCCCUGUAAAAAUUAAGGGUAGUGCCCAUAACUCUUAAUUUUUACAGAGGUUUGGAAAAUGAUAAACGAGUGACAAUUAUUUGGACACCUAAACACACAAAUAUAAUUGGAAACACAAAAGCAGAUGAAUUAACGAAAGAAGGAACACUGAAAUGCAUUGAGUUACUUCCCUUCAGUUCUAAGCUUGCUUGUUACUUAUUGUUUUGUUUAACUUGUCAUAUUUUAAUAAAAUAUUCAGAGUGAAUCAAUAUUUCAACUAUGGCUGCCUGAUUAAUAAGCCACACGUAAAGCCUCCUCUUAUUUUAUCUAGUUAUCUAUAUCAUUAUAGCAUGACAUAACAUGGUGUCAGAGUAAGGUUAACCUCCUGCCACAAAAAAAAGGUAUAGACAGAGUUCGAGUAUUUAUUCUCCCCCUUUAACUUUGUUUAUAUGCGCAUCAAAUGCACAUGCAAGCUGUUUGAAACUGAAGUACUCUAGACACAUUUUAAGCGACUACAAUUAGUCUGAACAGGAUAAGUUUGAAUCCACCAGAACAACAGAGCUUCGAAGGAAAUUUAGCUGAAAGCUACAAGGUCUAGGAACAACAGCAUGACUUUUAUCGACUUGCUGCAGUAGAUAUGGUAAAAGAUGGAAAAGUGCUGGCUGCAACUUGUCUCCACAUUACUGGAUCCAAAAUGCAACAGCCAACUUUGAGGUCAAUAAGGCCGUUGUACAACCCAUGUCAAUGAGGGUUUUUAGCACUUUCUGUCCGAGAGCCUCUACUUGCUUGCAGGAAGAAACUACCGAGUCAUUUGACUGCAGCCAUGCUGGAGCACCGCCUUUAGUCGAGAAAAUUGACCCCAGGACUUAUUCUUUGUAAGCCUAGUACUUAUUAUAUUGCUCUCUUUUUGCCAAAACACUAAGUUACGGGGACCUAAACACACCAGCAUCAGUUGUCAAGCGAUGGUGGGGGGACAAACACAGACACACACACAUACAUAAAUAUAUAUAUAUAUAUAUAUAUAUAUAUAUAUAUAUAUAUAUACGAUGGGCUUCUUUCAGUUUCGGUCUACCAAAUCCACUCACAAAACUUUGGUCGGCCCGAGGCUAUAAUAGAAGACACUUGCCCAAGGUUCCACGCAGUGGGACUGAACCUGGAACCAUGUGGUUGGUAUUGCGUAUGAAUGAGCAUGCUAAUAUGCUCGUGACCAUUCAUAUAAUGAGAAUGUGUGUGUAUGCUGAUAACAUAUCAAUAUACUUAGAAAUAUGCUACCAUCACUCCAGACCAGCAGUGCAUGAAAUUCCAACAACUCAAGCUUUGUUUCUAAACUUUCUGUUAAACCUUAUUUACAAACAUGAAAAGCUUUAUUUCUACUACAGUCACUUAUAUAAUAGAUCACAUUUUAAAUUACAACAUUUAAAUACAAAUAAAAAAAUUUUUAAAAAAGGUAGAAAAAUUUUUUUAAAUAAUAAAAAAGAGGUAAAGCAGCAGAAGAUGGAGGGGAACAAAUGAUGUGCUCAGCUGCACACCAGUCAUGAUGUUGCUAUGGAGAUUAGCCAGCAACACUGCAGCCACUACCUCUCGUGGGUCCCAUUUCUCAAACAGGCCAUUGUUAUCUAGAUUUUGUACUCUCCCUUUAAAUCUCUCUCUUUCUACUGACCAUGUCUUUUCAUUCUUUAUUUUAUUCUAUUAUACAUUUAAAUUAAUGGUCAAUCAACCUUUCUUUGGAUAAUAGCUGCUAUAUCUUGGUAUCCAUAUCUUCCUUUGAAAUUCAUUUUUUUUUUUAACCUUACUGUGUUUAAUUACUGACUUUUUACUGAAUUUGUCGGUCUAUGGCUAUUACUCCCUUAAGAUAAAUCAUAAAUGGCAAUAUGCUUAGUACAUUUGUUGCCUGUGCAAUAGGUUGAGCUUACUCUCUGUACUAGAGGAUGCUUUCAACAACCACAAAUCAUUCCAAUGACUAGUCUAUUAGUUCCCUUCUCAGCACCCUUGUAUAAAUGGCUACUCACAUGCACACACACACACAUAUAUAUAUAUAUAUGUACACUUUAUAUGUAUGUUAGUGUUGAUGUAACAUCUAUUAUAACAUUAUAAAAUGGCUGAAAGCAAAUGGAAUAAAAAUCUGCUCUCUUCA